rnacentral:rRNA from 1 species
UACGAACUGUGCGAACGUUAUUCGGAAUUACUGGGCUUAAAGGGUGCGUAGGCGGCGCUGUAAGUCAGGUGUGAAAGCCCUCGGCUCAACCGAGGAAUUGCGGUUGAAACUGCAGUGCUUGAGUGAGGUAGGGGUGCAUGGAACUUCCGGUGGAGCGGUGAAAUGUGUAGAUAUCGGAAGGAACGCCAGCGGCGAAAGCGGUGCACUGGGCCUUGUCUGACGCUGAGGCGCGAAAGCUAGGGUAGCGAACGGG